GCAUGUCUGCACAGACCUCAAAUGAUGGAGCAUUCUCCUCCCCUCCUCUGGCUGUCCUUUGUCAGACUCUACAAUCAUGGCUAGAAGAAAAAAGUUGACUUAACCGUUCUUUGUUGAAAUUCGGGACUAUGUUAGAGAUACCAGGUCUCAAUCAAAUACAGCCUUCAAUAAAAGACUCUUACGUAACCAGAUCCUAUGAGCAGAGAGCCAUCGUGCCUCCAACUUAGUUUCUUCAGAUUGGCUGGUUUUGGUGCUCAACUUUUGACUUUACCCACCUUCCUGACAAAGUGUUGAGGACCACUAGGUAAGCAUGCUAUCUUCAACGUUAAAAAAAAAAAUCAUGAUUGAAGGCAGCUGCACUUCAUAUAUCAAGGAGCAUUGAAUAUAACUAACUCUAAAACUU
ensembl:lncRNA novel transcript